UGAGCCACCCAGGCGCCUCUGGAUUUGAUUUUUGAGGCAAGUCCAUUUGAUUGAGAGUUACUGCCUAGAAAAUGUUAAGAAUUGUGAAACCACGAGUGUGAAAGACCGAGGUAGUGGCUCUAGUAGACAGCCCUGUACCAGUGCAUUUCUGUUGUUAGAAAAAAAAAGAUCAUGGGUAAAGGUUGAUUGCAUUAAGUCAUUGUCUUAAAAUGAG